GAUGAACGCUGGCGGCGUGCCUAAUACAUGCAAGUCGAGCGAACAGACGAGGAGCUUGCUCCUCUGACGUUAGCGGCGGACGGGUGAGUAACACGUGGAUAACCUACCUAUAAGACUGGGAUAACUUCGGGAAACCGGAGCUAAUACCGGAUAAUAUAUUGAACCGCAUGGUUCAUUAUUGAAAGCCGGUUUUGUUGUCACUUAUAGAUGGAUCCGCGCCGCAUUAGCUAGUUGGUAAGGUAACGGCUUACCAAGGCGACGAUGCGUAGCCGACCUGAGAGGGUGAUCGGCCACACUGGAACUGAGACACGGUCCAGACUCCUACGGGAGGCAGCAGUAGGGAAUCUUCCGCAAUGGGCGAAAGCCUGACGGAGCAACGCCGCGUGAGUGAUGAAGGUCUUCGGAUCGUAAAACUCUGUUAUUAGGGAAGAACAAAUGUGUAAGUAACUAUGCACGUCUUGACGGUACCUAAUCAGAAAGCCACGGCUAACUACGUG
rnacentral:rRNA from 1 species